GUCCACGCCCUAAACGAUGUCAACUGGUUGUUGGGACGGCUUGCUGUUCAGUAACGAAGCUAACGCGUGAAGUUGACCGCCUGGGGAGUACGGCCGCAAAGGUUGAAAACUCAAAGGAAUUGACGGGGACCCGCACAAGCGGUGGAUGAUGUGGUUUAAUUCGAUGCAACGCGAAAACCUUACCUACCCUUGACAUGUCAAGAAUCUUGCAUAGAUGUGAUAGUGCUCGAAAGAGAACUUGAACACAGGUGCUGCAUGGCCGUCGU
rnacentral:rRNA from 1 species